GGCCGGCUCGGGCCUUAGGCGACUUAGGCGGUCGCCUAAGGCCCCCGACCCACGGAAGGCCCCCAUCCCACGGUCCCCACUGCAUAGUUUUUUUUUUUAUUUAAUCUGUAGCCUUCUGCCUUUUCCAUCCGUCUCCAAUAGCUAGAGUCGUAGCUGGGCGCUGGCCUGGGCAGUGGGCCAUCAGGAAGAAAGGGAUUUGGUUGG
rnacentral:lncRNA from 1 species